rnacentral:rRNA from 1 species
AGCAGCCGCGGUAAUUCCAGCUCCAAUAGCGUAUAUUAAAGUUGUUGCAGUUAAAAAGCUCGUAGUUGAAUUUCGGGAUCAGUGCGCUGGUCGUGCCUUCGGUAUGUACUGGUGUUACUGGUUUCUACCUUCUGAAGAACCGUCAUGUCAUUAGUUUGGUGUGGCGGGGAAUCAGGACUGUUACUUUGAAAAAUUGAGUGUUUAAAGCAGGCUCGCGCUUGAAUACAUUAGCAUGGAAUAAUGAAAUAGGACGUUUGAUCCUAUUUUGUUGGUUUCUAGGAUUGACGUAAUGAUUAAUAGGGAUAGUUGGGGGCAUUAGUAUUCAAUUGUCAGAGGUGAAAUUCUUGGAUUUAUUGAAGACUAACUACCGCGAAAGCAUUUGCCAAGGAUGUUUUCAUUAAUCAAGAACGAAAGUUAGGGGAUCGAAGACGAUCAGAUACCGUCGUAGUCUUAACCAUAAACUAUGCCGACUAGGGAUCGGAUGAUGUUAAUUUUAAUGACUCAUUCGGCGUCUUAAC